AUGUCCAUAUCAUGUAUCACUUCUAGAUGGAAAGGUGUGCGGAAGGGAUUUGUACCAGUUAAUCGGGUAGCAAUUGAACGGAAUGCAAAACUUUUGUUGGAUAAAACAGUAGAAGAGCACCAGAGGAUGCUUGAAGGAAUUGUAAAGCAGGAUGAGAAGUGUCGCAAAAGUAUCAAGGCUGCUGGCAUCGGUUACAAGUGUCCAGCCCUUGUAACACUUGAUGUUGUUCAUUGA
rnacentral:rRNA from 1 species